ACUCACGACGUCAUUGCCGGCGACGAGGCCAGGCGACCGUGGAUACGGGAACAAGGGCGGCGCACCCUGCAGCAGCUGCCCUGCGUCGCGCCGCGCGUGGACUUGCUCCGCCCGCGUCGGCCGACCGAGCAGGAGCACCAGGAGCCGCCCUGGCCGCACUUCGACGGGCACCUGUCCGUCACGGCUGCCCUUGUGGAGGUGCUCCGUCGCCCCGCGUUGGCCGCGCAAGCAGGAGCACCAGGGGCCGCCCCGACCGUGCAUCGAUGGGCAGCUCGCCGUCGUGGCUGCCCCCGCCGUGUCGUCGCGCGAGCAGGAGCACUAAGCGCCGCCCCAGCCGCACACAUAACGGACACCUCGCCGUCGCGGCUGUCCCCGUCGCGCCGCGCAUGGAGGUGCUCCGUUGGCCCGCAUCGGCCGCGAUCGGGAGCACCAGUGCGAACAGGAGCGCCAGGGUCCGCGACAGCUGCGAAUGGUUGGGGCGACGGCUGGGCGCGGUCGCUGAGGGAAGCCGACGACUAUGGAGGACAUCGAGCGGCGGUGGCAGGCACUCCCGCUUCUGUUCCGAUGGCAGCCUCUCCCGCUUCUGCUCCGAGUAGAUCAACGACGUCGUGAGCCUUUGACCCCUCCAUCUAGGGCAUUCUAGGUACAAGAUGCAUCCAUCCAUCUCAUCGCUAUGAUAUUUUUGUUGAAGCCACAAGUCUGAUUGAUCGAUGAUUCCACCUCUGUUUGAGUCAGUAUUACCAUGCUUGUUUCAUUUGUUUUGCACUGCCUUUCAAUAGAAGUUUAGUAGAGAGUGCCAAGGAAUUUUUGGAUAUCCAUACUUACUGCUAAUACACCUCAUGUAGUGUUGCUUGUUGAGUCAAGCAAAUUUGCUCGAUCAAUUUGAGUCCAUCUUUGUUUGUUUCAGUAAUAGCAUGUUUCAGUUAACUGUCGGAGUGAUACAUCGAGUCCACCUCUGCAUGUUUGGCUGAUUGGGUCAGUAUAUAUGCCCCUUUUAAGAACAUGGCAGAUAUAUCUUUUGUAGCAUGGCAAUUUUAACUUUUUAUUUGCCAUGGCAAAUUCACUUUUUAUUGCCAAGACGAUGGCAAUUUUUAGCAAAUAACCAUUCACAUUUAGAUUACGAACCACGGCAAAUAUCAUUAUUUAACCAUGACAAUUUUAUUUUUUCCGUUGCUCAUGUUAAAUUUUAGUAAUUUACCAUGGCAAAUUUAGUUCAUAGAUGCUGGCAAGUAGUUUCUCAUUAACCAUGGCAACUAUAUUUUUCAUUGGUUCAUGGUAAGUUUAGUAAUUAACCAUGGAAAAUUUAGUUUAUAUAUCAUGGCAAAUUUUUUGUUCCAUUUUUUUGUGUGUGCGUAGAUCAUCGCAAAUUCCUGCGACCACGGCAACUUAUAUUUGGACAAAUUUCAGUUUUUCGUACAAACCAUGGCAAUUUUUUCCGUAGCACGACAACUUAUUUUUUUAUGAGAAGUGUGCCUCAUACAUCGUUGCAAAUUUCGAAAUUUUUUUUUGGAUAUUCAUACAAUAAUUGUAUGAUCUUUUUAUCUUCAUAACAUGUUUCUUCUAUGAACAUGGCAAUUUUUACUUUGUACUUACUACAGAAAUUUCAUUUCUAUUGACAUGGCAAAUUUACUUUUAUUGCCAAGACGAUGGCAAUUAUUUAGCAAACAACCGUCACAAAUUUAGUUAAUGAAUCAUGGCAAAUUUAAUUAACGAAUCAUGGCAAAUUUAGUUAACCAAUCAUGGCAAAUUUAGUUAAGGAACCAUGGCAAGUUUAUUUCAUUGAUCAGGGUAAAUUUUAUUAUUUGACCAUGGCAAAUUCAAUUCAUAGAUCAUUAUACACGAAGUUUUAGUUUCUCAUUCAUUACCCAUGGCAAAUUUAUUUUAUUGAUCAUGGCAAUUUUUAGUUUGAUGUAUCUCCAUGGAAAAUUUUAUUUUUUUAAUUCCCAAGGAGAUGGCAAUUUUUAGUAAAUGACCAUGGCAAAUUAAGUUUACGAUUCAUGGCAAAUUUCAUUAGUUACCAAUGGCAAAAAAAACAUUGAUCAUUGGAAAUCUAGUGUUUUGCCAUGUCAAUUUUGAACUUAUAAAUCAUGGCAAAUUUAAUGUCCAUGUCUCAUGGCAGUGCCAAAAUGGUGCACUCAUGAUAAUAUUCACAUUUUUUAAACAUGUUAAUGCAUGGGGUAAUGUGCAUCACGGUAAAUUUAAAUCAACGGCAAAUUUACACCACUUUUUGGCCACCAUUUGGCAAACUUAUAGAUUUGGAUUUGCCAUCAAUGCUUUUUUUUUCUGACCAUUGAAAAUUUUCUUUCUUUUUGCUUCUUGUCAAAAUUACCUUUUUAUGCGACCAUGGCAAAUUUAGUUUUAUGGUCACGGCAAUCUUUUUCUAUGCAACAUGGCAUUUUUUGUUGUGCUGGCCAUGGCUGUUUCUUUACGCCCACGGCAAUUUAUAUUUGAACAAAUUUCAAUUUUUCAUACAACCAUGGCAAUUUAUUUCCUGUAGCACGGCAACUUUUUUUGUACGUCAUGAAAUUUUUGCUAGUUGCCAUCUAUCAUGGCAUUUUUCUUUUUCUAUAGGUACUGUGGUAGCCUCAACAAUUAUAGCAAUUGAUGUCUAGAUUUUUGUGGCAUUUUUAUUGUACAGUUUUUUUGUCAGUUUUCCAGUUGGGUUGUCUUUGUGUUUUUUUUACUUUUUAAAAUAUUUUUUGCAAAGGGAAUCGUUUGGGCCAGCAGGCCUAGCAAAAGGCCAGCUGACGUGGGAUUCGAUGGAUGGUUCGGGCUGGGGGAAGAUCGCAACGAACGAAAACGUUCGGUGGUACUUCCCUGCUGCACGAACGAUUCGUUCGGAUCGCUCACCACCCACCCCGAACGUUCGGGAGAUAUUGACGUCCGGCAGUCCCACAAGCGGCGGAAAAAAUGCCGCUGCAGAUGAUCUGGCGGCCGCUAUAUCGGGCGGCUGGGGCGCGAUGGGCCGGUGCGCCGGCGCCCAUCAGUCCCCAUUUUAUACCCACCCCCUACCCCUUCACUCGAGUCUCCACUCGACGCCGACUGCGGCCACACUCCCGAACCCUAGCCUUGCCGGAAUGAGCAGCCCCUCCGCCGCCGCAUCGUCGCCGGCCCCCGCGCUGGACGGCGGCGUCAUCCUCGAAGAGAUGCUCGAGGAGAUCCUCCUCCGCCUCCCUCCGCAGCCCUCCUCCCUUCCGCGCGCAUCCCUCGUGUGCACGCGCUGGCGCCGCAUCCUCUGCAGCCCCGGCUUCCUCCGCCGCGUCCGCGAGCACCACGGCCGGAGCAAGCCACCGCCGCUACUCGGCUUCUUCGACGAGGCAUUCUGCAGAGACAAGCGGCCCAUCUUCAAGCCCACGACGAUGGGCCGGUGGGACCGCAUCCCACCCGCGCGCUUCUCGGCGCCAUGGAUUCGCGGCGAGGGCUGGGCGUUUCUCGGCUGCCGACAUGGCCUGGCCCUUCUCAUCUGCCAGAAGCGCCGCGAGGCCGUCGUGUGGGACCCCCUCACCGGUCACCAGCGCCGCCUUGCGUUUCCACCAGGGUUCUGCAGGAAAAAGGGGAGGCUCGUCCAGAACGCGGCGGUGAUGUGCACCGCCGCCGUCGAAGACGGGCAUGUGCACGGUGACUGCCGCUUCACCCCAUUUAGAUUGGCCUUGGUAGGCAGUGAUUCUGACGGCACACACAACUUUGCUUGCCUGUAUCAAUCGGAGUCCGGUGUGUGGGGGGAUGUUGUCUCACUAGAGACCACACGUUCGACAUGUGUAUGUGUUGCAAAACCCAGCGUCCUGGUUAGAAUUUCAUUUUGCUGGCUGGUUUCUGAAGGUGGCAUCCUCGAGUUUGAUUUUGAAAGCCAGAGCCUUGUGGUGAUCCAGAAGCCGGCAGACGUUAAUGUAGUAGGCUACCACUGGUCCUUUCUCGUUGUACGGACACAGCACAGCGGUCUGGGCCUUGCUGUUUUUCCCGAGCCAGAUUGUCAGAGCGGAGAUUGUCAGAGCGGUAUCAUCCAAUUAUGGGAGAGAAAAUCUAACCGUGAUGAUGUUGUUGGAUGGGAACUGCCGAAAACCAUUCAGCUAGAUGGGCUCUUUUCAUUUGAACUGACCGGGAAGUCAAAGGCGGUUAUGAUGCAGGGGUAUGAUGAGGACAGCAAUGCGAUUUUGCUAUCAACGUUUUACGGUGAAUACAUGCUCCAGCUUGAGUCCACGCAGUUUAUAUAUCUUAUUGAACACCAAAGCAAUUACAUUAGAACCAGGACCUACUAUCCGUACAGAAAUUUCUAUGGUACAGGUAAUCCCUUGUCGCUGUCUGCUCUUGGUGUAUUUAGCAUGUUCUUUCUAAUUAUUGGCAACUGGCGAAUGGGCAGGAACUGUGCUAAAACUAUAUUGGCAAACCAUUUUAUAUGUAAUGUGUUAUUUGAUUUCACAGGUGGAGUGCUAUGUAUCUUGAUUGAUCUUGAUAUUAAUCAUAUAUUCAUAAUAGUUAUUGGCAUCUUUAAUAUCAUACAUGGGAAAACAUUGCUUGUUCAUUGAACCUGAAUAGUGGUUAGUAUUGUCAUCAGUCACUUAAGUUUCUCAAAUAAAAAUAACGAGCUUAUUUUAGUUUCUUUACCCAUUUGACAUUGCUGGAACGAAUCCUCUUCAGAAUAGUAAUUCUAUCUGAAUACAUUUCCUCUGAACAGCUAAACAGUCCUAACAUGUAUAAUUCAUUACUAGGUAAAUGAUGAUUGUCUCUCUACCUUGCGCACCUAGCAGUAGAUAUGGUUUCAUUUCCCCAUUCCUACCUUUGUCAUAAAGGGUAGUUUUGCCUUCUCAUCGGUUUACCUCUUCCAUGAAUUUUCUUCGGUUUAUUGGGUUUCUUUUGCUUGUAGGCAGCAGAGUUGGUGGUCGAGAUGGUGGAGCUGAAAUGUCAAUGCAUUAGAUGAUUGUCCCAUUAGGCUUGUGCUUUGGAGAUUUCAGAUGCCAUGCAAGCUGAUUUAUGGAGGCAUCUUAUUGUUUAUUUUUUUGACUUGGUGGCAUGCCACAUGUUCGAAUUAGUGACAUCUCGAUGAUGGUUAUUACAGACCUGGCAGUUUCGUUGUAUCUAAGCUGCAUUAGUACCGUACUGGUCUAUUGUUUGCUUCGUAGUGUCGACAACGUAGACUGAAAUAUGCUUAGGUGCCCACGGGUUAGUUAUUUAACUAGUAGGAACUCGGAUGACUACAUGUCAGAUGGUUUCAAACUUUCAAUUGUUAUGUCAUGUCCUAGCAAGUGUGUACUGUUUCAAUUGAGUAAUGAGUGGAACUGCCUAUCUCUUUCAGAUUUGAACUCUUUUUGUUACUUGUUUGUUAAUUUGGCUUUGAAAAUGAUUAGAAUUGAUGUUGCUGUAACCGCAACCAUGAUGCAGCAUGAAUACUAGAGAAUACAUUAUAUAUCCAUAGUUAUGCUAUUAAGGAACUGACAAGGAGUUCUCUUAAGAAAGAAAUUUUGAUGAAAAGUUUACUGUGUACAUAGUACAUACUAAAUUUCCUAUAUGAAGAGUUUCUCCAGGUAUGUACCAAUCAUCAUACUAGUGACUGCUUCUAUGUUGUAGAUGUCAGCUAAUAUAAGUGCUGACCAACAUAGUUCCAUUUUAUUAAAUUUCAUACAACCUAUGAACAUUUUUUGGUUAUAAUUAGAGCCAGCUAUUGUGAUUUGUGGAUGUAAAAAUGUUCGUCCCCCCAUUAACUUAGUUUCAAUUCUUGGGCACAUGCUUGGAAGAUGUGGAGGUCUCAAGUAAUGAUUUGGAUGUAACACAACACCCAUGUAAUGUGAGCAAUGGCUGAGAGCUAACAGGUGGAGGGAUGAAUUGUGGGGCUGGCUCGGUUGAAAGAAUAUACCGAUUCAGCAGCAGAAAAGGGUAU